rnacentral:rRNA from 1 species
GACGAACGUUGGCGGCGUGCUUAAUACAUGCAAGUCAACUGAAGCAGUGGUAGCAAUAUCGCUGUGGAGGUGGCGCACGGGUGAGUAACACGUAGGUAAUCUGCCUUCAGGUCUGGCAUAACUCCGGGAAACCGGGGCUAAUAGCAGAUGAUGCAGCGGCUCGACAUCGAGACAGUUGUUAAAGCUAUGGCGCCUGAAGAUGAGCCUGCGUCUGAUUAGCUAGUUGGCGGGGUAACGGCCCACCAAGGCAACGAUCAGUAGCUGGUCUGAGAGGAUGAUCAGCCACACUGGAACUGAGACACGGUCCAGACUCCUACGGGAGGCAGAAGUAAGGAAUAUUGCUCAAUGGGAGAAAUCCUGAAGCAGCAACGCCGCGUGAGGGACGAAGGGCUUUUGCUUGUAAACCUCUGUAGUGAGAGAAAAAAAUCACAAUCUUUGGGACAUGAUGGUAUCUCAAAAGUAAGCCCCGGCUAACUACGUG